UACGUAGGGGGCAAGCGUUGUCCGGAAUCAUUGGGCGUAAAGCGCGUGUAGGCGGCUCGAUAAGUCUGCUGUGAAAGUCCAAGGCUCAACCUUGGGAUGCCGGUGGAUACUGUCGAGCUCGAGUCCGGAAGAGGAGUGUGGAAUUCCUGGUGUAGCGGUGAAAUGCGCAGAUAUCAGGAGGAACACCAAUGGCGAAGGCAGCACUCUGGGACGUGACUGACGCUGAGACGCGAAAGCUAGGGGAGCAAACGGG
rnacentral:rRNA from 1 species